GCGUGUCGGAGCGUGAAGGUAGAAGGUUCUUUGCCUCUGUUGCUUGCCUUCCUUUACGGGCCGGGACAGCGCGGCCGUGGAACUAGGAGAAAGAGAUCGGUUUCGAGGGAAAGGGUCAUGCUUAUGUAGGCCUGGUAUUGUGGCCGUUGGGCUCGAGGGCCUGGUGGCGGUAAUAACCGGAGGAGCCUCGGGCCUGGGCCUGGCCACGGCGGAGCGACUUGUGGGGCAGGGAGCCUCUGCUGUGCUUCUGGACCUGCCCAACUCGGGUGGGGAGGCCCAGGCCAAGAAGUUAGGAAACAACUGCGUUUUCGCCCCAGCCGACGUGACCUCUGAGAAGGAUGUGCAAACAGCUCUGGCUCUAGCAAAAGGAAAGUUUGGCCGUGUGGAUGUAGCUGUCAACUGUGCAGGCAUCGCGGUGGCUAGCAAGACGUACAACUUAAAGAAGGGCCAGACCCAUACCUUGGAAGACUUCCAGCGAGUUCUUGAUGUGAAUCUCAUGGGCACCUUCAAUGUGAUCCGCCUGGUGGCUGGUGAGAUGGGCCAGAAUGAACCAGACCAGGGAGGCCAACGUGGGGUCAUCAUCAACACUGCCAGUGUGGCUGCCUUCGAGGGUCAGGUUGGACAAGCUGCAUACUCUGCUUCCAAGGGGGGAAUAGUGGGCAUG
rnacentral:sRNA from 1 species